UAGGGAAUCUUCCACAAUGGACGCAAGUCUGAUGGAGCAACGCCGCGUGAGUGAAGAAGGUUUUCGGACCGUAAAGCUCUGUUGUUGGUGAAGAAGGAUAGAGGUAGUAACUGGCCUUUAUUUGACGGUAAUCAACCAGAAAGUCACGGCUAACUACGUGCCAGCAGCCGCGGUAAUACGUAGGUGGCAAGCGUUGUCCGGAUUUAUUGGGCGUAAAGCGAGCGCAGGCGGAAGAAUAAGUCUGAUGUGAAAGCCCUCGGCUUAACCGAGGAAUUGCAUCGGAAACUGUUUUCUUGAGUGCAGAAGAGGAGAGUAGAACUCCAUGUGUAGCGGUGGAAUGCGUAGAUAUAUGGAAGAAUACCAGUGGCGAAGGCGGCUCUCUGGUCUGCAACUGACGCUGAGGCUCGAAAGCAUGGGUAGCGAACAGGAUUAGAUACCCCUGGUAGUCCAUGCCGUAAACGAUGAGUGCUAAGUGUUGGGAGGCUUCCGCCUCUCAGUGCUGCAGCUAACGCAUUAAGCACUCCGCCUGGGGGAGUACGACCGCAAGGUUGAAAC
rnacentral:rRNA from 1 species